UGGCUCAGUUGGUAGAGCAUGGUGUGUGCUAAUGCCAGGGUUGUGGGUUCGAUUCCCAC
rnacentral:tRNA from 1 species